GAUUUCCAUGUAGAGGCUUUGAUUCAAGUUUGGUUCGGUGGUGGUGUGUCCUCUAUUUUUAUGGGUUCUUUUUCUAGCUUUCCUCACUCUGCCUCUUGUUGCAUGGUGGUGAUGUUUAAGUUAUUCUCCAGUUUGUUUUCUUUCGCUGAUUUUCUCUUUUUGGAUCAAUAUUAUAAUUUUUUACUGUCUUUGGGUCUCUUCACCAUGGAAUUAUAAAAAACUUGGAUAUCAUAAAACGAUCACACUCCAGUCUAGAGAUCAUUCCCAAAUUUAUCCCAAUUCU
rnacentral:lncRNA from 1 species